UACAGAGGGUGCGAGCGUUGUCCGGAAUCACUGGGCGUAAAGGGCGCGUAGGCGGCUUCUCAAGCGUGCGGUGAAAGCUCGGGGCUUAACUCCGAGUCUGCCGUGCGAACUGGGAGGCUUGAGUCUGGUAGAGGUCGAUGGAAUUCCGGGUGUAGCGGUGGAAUGCGUAGAUAUCGGAAGGAACAUCAGUGGCGAAAGCGGCUUCCUGGACCAGUACCGACGUUCAGGCACGAAAGCGUGGGGAGCAAACAGG
rnacentral:rRNA from 1 species